rnacentral:rRNA from 1 species
AUUGAACGCUAGCGGGAUGCCUUACACAUGCAAGUCGAACGGCAGCACGGACUUCGGUCUGGUGGCGAGUGGCGAACGGGUGAGUAAUGUAUCGGAACGUGCCCAGUAGCGGGGGAUAACUACGCGAAAGCGUAGCUAAUACCGCAUACGCCCUUAGGGGGAAAGCAGGGGAUCGCAAGACCUUGCACUAUUGGAGCGGCCGAUAUCGGAUUAGCUAGUUGGUGAGGUAAUGGCUCACCAAGGCCGCGAUCCGUAGCUGGUUUGAGAGGACGACCAGCCAAACGGGGACUGAGACACGGCCCAGACUCCUACGGGAGGCAGCAGGGGGGAAUUUUGGACAAUGGGGGAAACCCUGAUCCAGCCAUCCCGCGUGUGCGAUGAAGGCCUUCGGGUUGUAAAGCACUUUUGGCAGGAAAGAAACGGCGCGUGCUAAUACCAUGCGCAACUGACGGUACCUGCAGAAUAAGCACCGGCUAACUACGUGCCAGCCGCCGCCGUAA